CCCUUAGAUGUUCUGGGCCGCACGCGCGCUACACUGAUGCAUUCAACGAGUCUAAAACCUGCUCUGAUAGGGGUGGGUAAUCUUUUGAAUGUGCAUCGUGAUUGGGAUAGAUGAUUGCAAUUUUUCAUCUUCAACGAGGAAUGCCUAGUAAACGCAAGUCAUCAGCUUGCAUUGAUUACGUCCCUGCCCUUUGUACACACCGCCCGUCGCUCCUACCGAUUGAAUGAUCCGAUGAUUAUCAUGGAUUGAGGAUGCAAGUAGGUUAGCCUAUCUUCAUCUUCGAGAAGUGAAGUAAAUCUUAUCAUUUAGAGGAAGGAGAAGUCGUAACA
rnacentral:rRNA from 1 species